rnacentral:lncRNA from 1 species
GAUUUAUUAUAUCUAAGGUAAUAAGAAGUAAUGAGUUUUAUUUUGCAUUUAGCCUCCUGACAAAUUUUUAUUUUAAAAUUUACCUUGUCAAAAUUUAAUUUGCAAAAAUGGCUGCCACGUCAGCGCCACGCGGGCAGGGCCGAAACCCGUAUGUUAAGUUGAAUACGGUGAAUGGUUCAUCGCGUUUAGUACGUAUUUUUUUUAUAAAGAGUAGUGAUGUCAAUAGAUAUGGACAUCCGAAAUAUUAUCCAAAUCCAAAUCCGAAUAAAUUAUAUAUAUAUAUAUAUAUAAUUUUCUAUAUAUAUUUUUAUUUAUUUAUACAAUAUAUAAAAUAUUUAAUAAUUUUUAUAUCUUAAAUCUUCAUCCAACGGUAUAGAUUUUUAAAACCCGCUGGGUUCAGGUUCGGAUUUCCGUCGGGUUCGAAUUCGGAUUUGGAUUUUAAUUUAAUUUUUGGGUUCGAGUUCGGAUUUUUGUAAAAGAGAAAAAAAUAAAUACAAAUUCUCUAUUCCUUUUUCAAUAUACAAAAAAUACGUACUAAACACGGUGAACCAUUCAUCGUGUUUAGACAUGGUGAAUGGUUCACCGUGUUUAACUUAACUACCACUCCCAGCCCCGCCCGCGUGGGGCUGACAUGGCGCCUGCGUGGCAGGCUUAGGACCAUUUUUACAAAUUA